AACCACAACCUCGCUCAAAGCCCUCAGACUACAUCCUCCAUCAUGGAGUGGAGCUGGAGAGUACUAUUCUUGAUGGCAGUGACUGCAAGUGUGCACUCCCAGGUACAACUGACCCAGUCUGGGGCUGAGGUGAGGAAACCUGGAACAUCUGUCAAGGUCUCUUGCAAGGCUUCUGGAUACACUUUCACCAGCUACUACAUGCACUGGGUGCGGCAGGCCCCUGGAAAAGGCCUAGAGUGGAUGGGAUGGGUUUAUCCUAAAAAUGGUAAUACAAAGUAUGCCCAGAAGUUCCAAGGAAGAGCCACCAUGACUGCAGACACAUCCUCCAACACAGCCUACAUGCAGCUGAGCAGUCUGAGUUUUGAGGAUACAGCUGUGUAUUACUGUGCAAGAGACACAGUGAGGAGAAGUGAGGGUGAGCCCAGACAAAAACCUCCCAGCAUGGAAAACAGAGGUGGUUGAAGUUGGUGCUCAUAACCAGCA